ACAAACUGAAAAUGACCUCUGGUGUAUCAGUCAGCUGGGGUCAGAUUACUGUGCCAACAUUGAUGUUGGGUGCGUUAAUGCUUAUCACACGCUGGCCUGCUGAUAAAACCAAUGCUCCCACAAAA